rnacentral:rRNA from 1 species
CCACACUGGUACUGAGACACGGACCAGACUCCUACGGGAGGCAGCAGUGAGGAAUAUUGGUCAAUGGAGGCAACUCUGAACCAGCCAUGCCGCGUGCAGGAAGAAUGUCCUAUGGAUUGUAAACUGCUUUUGUACGGGAAGAAACAUCGCUACGUGUAGUGACUUGACGGUACCGUAAGAAUAAGGAUCGGCUAACUCCGUGCCAGCAGCCGCGGUAAUACGGAGGAUCCGAGCGUUAUCCGGAAUUAUUGGGUUUAAAGGGUUCGUAGGCGGUUUAUUAAGUCAGUGGUGAAAUUUCUUAGCUUAACUAAGACACGGCCAUUGAUACUGGUAGACUUGAAUAGUAUGGAAGUAACUAGAAUAUGUAGUGUAGCGGUGAAAUGCUUAGAUAUUACAUGGAAUACCAAUUGCGAAGGCAGGUUACUACGUACUUAUUGACGCUGAUGAACGAAAGCGUGGGUAGCGAACAGGAUUAGAUACCCUGGUAGUCCACGCCGUAAACGAUGGAUACUAGCUGUUCGGUUUUCGGACUGAGUGGCUAAGCGAAAGUGAUAAGUAUCCCACCUGGGGAGUACGUUCGCAAGAAUGAAACUCAAAGGAAUUGACGGGGGCCCGCACAAGCGGUGGAGCAUGUGGUUUAAUUCGAUGAUACGCGAGGAACCUUACCAGGGCUUAAAUGUAGAUUGACGUAUUUGGAAACAGAUAUUUCUUCGGACAAUUUACAAGGUGCUGCAUGGUUGUCGUCAGCUCGUGCCGUGAGGUGUCAGGUUAAGUCCUAUAACGAGCGCAACCCCUAUUGUUAGUUACCAUCGAGUCAAGUCGGGAACUCUAACAAGACUGCCGGUGCAAACCGUGAGGAAGGUGGGGAUGACGUCAAAUCAUCACGGCCCUUACGUCCUGGGCUACACACGUGCUACAAUGGCCAGUACAGAAAGCAGCUACCAGGCAACUGGAUGCGAAUCUCAAAAACUGGUCUCAGUUCGGAUUGGAGUCUGCAACUCGACUCUAUGAAGCUGGAAUCGCUAGUAAUCGGAUAUCAGCCAUGAUCCGGUGAAUACGUUCCCGGGCCUUGUACACACCGCCCGUCAAGCCAUGGAAGCUGGGGGUACCUGAAGUCGGUGACCGCAAGGAGCUGCCUAGGGUAAAACUAGUGACUGGGGCUAAGUCGUAACAAGGUAGCCGUACCGGAAGGUGCGGCUG